AUGAACGCUAGCGACAGGCUUAACACAUGCAAGUCGAGGGGCAGCGGGGGAUAAGCUUGCUUUUCCUGCCGGCGACCGGCGCACGGGUGAGUAACACGUAUGCAACCUGCCCCUGUCAGAGGGAUAAUCCGGAGAAAUCCGGUCUAAUAUCGCAUAAAGCGUUUGCGGGGCAUCCUGCGAGCGCCAAAGGAGUAAUCCGGACAGGGAUGGGCAUGCGGCGCAUUAGCUAGUUGGGGGGGUAACGGCCCACCAAGGCGACGAUGCGUAGGGGUUCUGAGAGGAAGGUCCCCCACAUUGGUACUGAGACACGGACCAAACUCCUACGGGAGGCAGCAGUGAGGAAUAUUGGUCAAUGGGCGGAAGCCUGAACCAGCCAAGUCGCGUGAGGGAAGACGGCCCUAAGGGUUGUAAACCUCUUUUGCCGGGGAGCAAAAGCGCCGUGCGCGGUGCUAUGAGAGUACCCGGAGAAAAAGCAUCGGCUAACUCCGUGCCAGCAGCCGCGGUAAUACGGAGGAUGCGAGCGUUAUCCGGAUUUAUUGGGUUUAAAGGGUGCGUAGGCGGACAGUUAAGUCAGCGGUCAAAACGGGCGGCUCAACCGCCUGCCGCCGUUGAAACUGGCAGUCUAGAGUGGGCGAGAAGUACGCGGAAUGCGCGGUGUAGCGGUGAAAUGCAUAGAUAUUGCGCAGAACUCCGAUUGCGAAGGCAGCGUACCGGCGCCCGACUGACGCUGAGGCACGAAAGCGUGGGGAUCGAACAGGAUUAGAUACCCUGGUAGUCCACACCGUAAACGAUGGAUACUAGGUGUAGGGUGUGAUAAACGCUCUGUGCCGUCGCAAACGCAGUAAGUAUCCCACCUGGGGAGUACGGCCGCAAGGUUGAAACUCAAAGGAAUUGACGGGGGCCCGCACAAGCAGUGGAGUAUGUGGUUUAAUUCGACGCAACGCGAAGAACCUUACCAAGGCUUGACAUAUACAGGAAUAUUUAAGAGAUUAAAUAGCUCUUCGGAGUCUGUAUACAGGUGGUGCAUGGUUGUCGUCAGCUCGUGCCGUGAGGUGUCGGCUUAAGUGCCAUAACGAGCGCAACCCCCAUCCGCAGUUGCCAGCAGGUAAAGCUGGGGACUCUGCGGAGACUGCCGGCGCAAGCUGAGAGGAAGGCGGGGAUGACGUCAAAUCAGCACGGCCCUUACGUCCGGGGCGACACACGUGUUACAAUGGCAGGGACAGAGGGAAGCCACCGGGCGACCGGGCGCGGACCCCGAAACCCUGUCUCAGUUCGGAUCGGAGUCUGCAACUCGACUCCGUGAAGCUGGAUUCGCUAGUAAUCGCGCAUCAGCCAUGGCGCGGUGAAUACGUUCCCGGGCCUUGUACACACCGCCCGUCAAGCCAUGGAAGCCGGGAGUGCCUGAAGUGCGUGACCGCAAGGAGCGCCCUAGGGUAAAACCGGUGACUGGGGCU
rnacentral:rRNA from 1 species